rnacentral:sRNA from 1 species
ACAACCGAUUUCGGUGUAUUGUACUUAAUUUUUGAUUUUGAAGUGAUUAUAUUUUGAUUUGUA